AAUUUUUGACAAUGGGCGCAAGCCUGAUCCAGCCAUGCCGCGUGAGUGAAGAAGGNCUNNGGGUUNUNAAGCUCUUUCGGACGNNNNNAAAUCGCGCAGUCUAAUACCCUGCGACGAUGACGGUACCGUCCUAAGAAGCACCCGCUAACUACUGUCCAUGCGCCGCGGUAAUAAGUAGGGUGCGAGCGGUAAUAGGAAUUACUGGGGGUAUAGAGUGCGCAGGCGGUGGAUUAAGACAGGCGUGAAAUCCCCGGGCUUAACCUGGGAACUGCGCUUGUGACUGGUAAGAUAGAGUACAGCAGAGGGGGGUGGAAUUCCACGUGUAGCAGUGAAAUGAGUAGAGAUGUGGAGGAACACCGAUGGCGAAGGCAGCCCCCUGGGCCGAUACUGACGCUCAUGCACGAAAGCGUGGGUAGCAAACAGG
rnacentral:rRNA from 1 species